UAAGACGAACCGUCCUAACGUUGUUCGGAAUCACUGGGCUUAAAGGGCGCGUAGGCGGGCGAGCAAGUCUAGGGUGAAAUCUUUCGGCUUAACCGGAAAAUAGCCUUGGAUACUGCUGGUCUCGAGGGAGGUAGGGGUCGUUGGAACUUCCGGUGGAGCGGUGAAAUGCGUUGAUAUCGGAAGGAACGC
rnacentral:rRNA from 1 species